rnacentral:rRNA from 1 species
CUUUACUGCAACUUGGCAGUGAUUUUCGGGAUGUUCUGCGUAGGAUAGGUGGGAGGCUUUGAAGCUGGGCUUCUGGGUUCAGCUGAGCCAACGUUGAAAUACCACCCUGGAUAUUCUGGAAAUCUAACCUAGGCCCGUGAUCCGGGCCAGGGACACUGCCUGGCGGGCAGUUUGACUGGGGCGGUCGCCUCCAAAAAAGUAACGGAGGCGUGCGAAGGUUCCCUCAGCCUGAUUGGAAACCAGGCGUAGAGUGCAAACGCACAAGGGAGCUUAACUGUGAGACCGACAGGUCGAACAGGUGCGAAAGCAGGCGUUAGUGAUCCGGUGGUUCUGCAUGGAAGGGCCAUCGCUUAUCGGAUAAAAGGUA